rnacentral:misc_RNA from 1 species
AAGUUAUUCGUUCUACGAGCUUCACUCUGGUCGCCGUGUGGCGGCCCGCCCGCACACCGCUUACUUGGUGUGGGGGUUGUUUUGGUGAGACUCGCUGCACCUGGCCCGUUUCGAGGGCCCGGUGGUGGGUUCGUGCUCAUGGGUGGAAUAUCAGCGGACGAGGCAGCCGGUGCGACCUUCGGGUUGUGGUGGGUGUCUGAUCACUGUCUGGUGUCUGCGUGCUUGCUUGGUGCGUGGGUGCUGUUGACGGUUGGUGGUUUGGUGCACUGUCGGGUCCUGGAACAACAGGCCCCGUCACUGUGGUCCUUGCCUUCGGGUGGGGGUGUGGUGGUUGGGUGUGUGUUCUGUGGCUUGCUUCAGGUAGCUGCGCACGGUGUGUGUGGUGAGGGGGGCGGCUGGUGUUGUUUGAGAACUGUAUAGUGGACGCGAGCAUCUUAUUCUUUAUGUGAGAAUUUUUUUGUGUGUCUGUUUGAAGAUACUAAGGCGCACGGUGAUGCGCCCC